rnacentral:rRNA from 1 species
GACGAACGCUGGCGGCGUGCUUAACACAUGCAAGUCGAACGGAAAGGCCCUGCUUUGGUGGGGUUCGCGAGGGGCGAACGGGUGAGUAACACGUGAGUAACUUGCCCUCGUCUUUGGGACAUCUUCAGGAAACUGGGGCAAAAACAGUAUAGGAGCACCUUCUGCAUGGUGGGGGUCGGAAAGUUUCGGCGGUUGGGGAUGGACUCGCGGCUUAUGAGUUUGUUGGGGGGGUUGUGGCUUAAAAGGGCUUUCACGGGUAGCCGGCCUGAGAGGGUGACCGGCCCCCUUGGGACUGGGCUACGGCCGGCACCCCUGCGGGAGGCAGCAGUGGGGAAUAUUGCCUAAUGGGGGGAAGCAGGAUGCAGCAACGCGGCGUUCGGGAUGACGGCCUUCGGGUUGAAAACCGCUUUGGGCUGUACCGAAGCGUGUGUGACGGUAAUAGGUAAAGAAGCACCGGCUAACUACGUG